rnacentral:rRNA from 1 species
ACUACCGAUUGAAUGGUUUAGUGAGGCCUUCUGACUGGCGCCGAUACUCUGGUGACAGAGCGCCGGAUGCCGGAAAGUUGGUCAAACUUGAUCAUUUAGAGGAAGUAAAAGUCGUAACAAGGUUUCCGUAGGUGAACCUGCGGAAGGAUCAUUACCGAUACAAUCCAACAACUCCGUUGUUACCGUGUGAACUGUACCAAACCAUUAGGGGUCGGCCAGGCCGUUAAAUGGCGGUCGGACGCGAGAGAUCGCGGCCGUUCCGCCGGCCCCGCCUUUGUUUUUUUCACAACGUACGUGUUACAGUCUGAUUUGUGUGGCCCUCUUGUGGUCACGGAGAGCGAAAAACGAGAUACAACUUUUGACGGUGGAUCUCUUGGCUCACGCAUCGAUGAAGAACGCAGCCAGCUGCGAUAAGUAGUGUGAAUUGCAGAAUUCAGUGAAUCAUCGAAUCUUUGAACGCAAAUGGCGCUCUUGGGUUCUCCCAGGAGCAUGUCUGUCUGAGUGUCGGAUAUCAUCCAUCGCAUGCACCGUGCGUGUUUGCGGCGUUGAGGCGUCACGGCCGUCGGAUGCGUGGCCGUGUCCCUUGAAAGACAGAGAGACUCGCUGUGGCGUGGGUUAGUCCCUGCACACUCGCGGAGGCUAAAAUACUACUUGCCCUUCGCGUGCCGGGAAUGCCCUCCGCAGGAGAGCGAAGAGCGAUCGUCUUUAAAUCUUGACCUCAGAUCAGGCAAGGCUACCCGCUGAAUUUAAGCAUAUUAAUAAGCGGAGGAAAAGAAACUAACAAGGAUUCCCUCAGUAACGGCGAGUGAAGCGGGAACAGCUCAAAUUUGAAAUCUCCGGUGCUUGCAUCGGCGAGUUGUAGUUGCGAGAAGCACUUUCUAGGUGGAUCGGUCGCGCCUAAGUUGCUUGGAACAGCACGUCGCAGAGGGUGACAACCCCGUCUGUGGCGCGGCCGGCCGCUGACGAUGUGCUUUCGAA